AUACAUAGUUACAUACAUACGGACUUAUAAAAUAUCUGGUGCUGUGAAGAAGAGGAACAUCUACCAGUUUACAAACAUGUUUGAUAGAAAGGGCACAAAAGUGGUAGUAAUUGGACUUCUGAUUCUGAUCGUGAUCCUAACUGAAAUCACGCAAAUAGGCGGGCAACAAUUAUGUACUCCAAGGGGAUCCGGCUGUAGGGUGAGAAGAAAUCGUUAUGGAAGAAGUUUGUGCAGAAUAAGAGGAGAGCAGCGUGGAAUCGAAAAAAGAUGUUUCCGGGUAGGCCCCGUAUGCAGAUGUGACACGGUUGGCAAUAAACUCAGCGCCACAUAAAGCCCACAUGAAUGAAACAACAACGGAUAAUAAGAUUAUCAUUAUAUGAAUGAUAUGUAUGCUUAUGACAUUUGGAAUAUGUGGAAUUAACAUUUGUUUAUGUACAGUGAAGUUAGCAACUUUACAUUUGUCAACUGUAAUUACAUGUAGCUAACUUUAGAUAAACCACUUUAUUUUAUAGGAUUAUUAUAAAAGAGAUAUAUAUCGUGUUCCGUGUGAAGCUUAAUACUGUAUAGUAGGUAUAAUGGUUGGAUACAUAAGUCAUGUUUGUUUGUUUCAUUAUUUUACGCCUGUUCCCAACAGUAUUUCAGUCAUAUAGGCGGGUAGUUUCCUAACCAUCGUUCCUGGAGAGUUACACCAGUACUAGACUACCUUCAUCCGCGCUAAAAUACCAAAGCAUCUCCCGGGGAUCGAACCCACGCCAGAGAGGUAACUGGAUUCGAGGUCAUCGACUCUAACCCCUAGACCACGGAGGCGGUGCAUAAGUUAUGCUUUAUUUAAAGAAUGACAAGUCUCGAUUUAAUUGAAAUUAUUCAUUUUUUAUCAUUUUCAAGUCAAGCUGAAUGACUUUUAUGUUUCAAAAGAUUGACUGUUAUAAUGGUGACAGACCAACAGUUAAUAUUUGAAAAUACUUUGGAUAAAAUAUAAAUCUGCCUAAAUCAUAGAAAUACUGGCCCACUCUUUAAAAUUAAAUGAAUGUUACAGGUAAAUUGCGGUGGAUAUUUACAGGAAUUCCUUUUGGCCAUGUGUGUAUUUGUCGUUUAAUUAAUGCUAAUUAAAUGAUAAAACAAAGACGAACUAUGGCAAAAUGUACACUUAUUUUAAAUUUCACCUGUUCACUCUUUAUACAUCUUGGAUAGGCAUCAUGUCACUUUAAUAUGUUAGUGUCUUCAUUUACUUUUAGACCUGACACUAUUAAAUGUUACAUCACUUUUAAAGCAUAAAAGUGAACUCAUCUUUCUUAAUAAAAUGAAAUAAAAUA